CCUACGGGAGGCAGCAGUGGGGGAUAUUGCACAAUGGGGGAAACCCUGAUGCAGCGACGCCGCGUGUGGGAAGACGGUCCUCUGGAUUGUAAACCACUGUCCCCAGGGACGAAGAUGACGGUACCUGGGGAGGAAGCUCCGGCCAACUACGUGCCAGCAGCCGCGGUAAUACGUAGGGAGGGAGCGUUGUCCGGAAUUACUGGGUGGAAAGGGAGCGUAGGCGGGACUGCAAGUUGGGUGUCAAAUCUACCGGCUCAACCGGUAGCCGCACUCAAAACUGCAGUUCUUGAGUGAAGUAGAGGCAGGCGGAAUUCGUAGUGUAGCGGUGAAAUGCGUAGAUAUUAGGAGGAACCCCAGUGGCGAAGGCGGCCUGCUGGGCUUUUACUGACGCUGAGGCUCGAAAGUGUGGGGAGCAAACAGGAUUAGAUACCCUUGUAGUC
rnacentral:rRNA from 1 species